CAAGAGGGAGUGUAGCCACCGGAAGAAGAUACCCUACGUCACAGCAGUAGCGUCAUCUUACUAAGCAUAGCGCCACAUAGUGUUUUGGAUCAUUUAAACGUCUUAAUCUACAUUAAUGUAAAGCCAGCCUUUUUUUAUAAAGAUUAAAUCAGAUGAUAGACAAAAAAAAAAUCAAAUUAUUUUUCCAUUAUACAGGUGCUGGUCAUAUAAUUAGAAUAGCAUCAAAAAGUUGAUUUAUUUCACUAAUUACAUUCAAAAAGUUAAAAUUGUAUAUUCAUUCUUUACACACAUACUGAUAUACAGGUCCUUCUAAAAAAAUUAGCAUAUUAUGAUAAAGUUCAUUAUUUUCCAUAAUGUAAUGAUAAAAAUUAAACUUUCAUAUAUUUUAGAUUCAUUGCACACCAACUGAAAUAUUUCAGGUCUUUUAUUGUUUUAAUACUGAUGAUUUUGGCAUACAGCUCACGAAAACCCAAAAUUCCUAUCUCAAAUAUUAUUAUUAUUAUUAUUUCUUUCUAUUUUGAUGAAUAUAACUGACAACUAAGGAAAAUCCCAAAUUCAGUAUCAGAAAAUUAGAAAAUAACGUAAGACAAAUACAAAGAAAGGAUUUUUAGAAAUCUUGGCCAACUGAAAAGUAUGAACAUGAAAAGUAUGAGCAAGUACAGCACUCAAUACUUAGUUGGGGCUCCUUUUGCCUGAAUUACUGCAGCAAUGCAGCGUGGCAUGGAGUGGAUCAGUCUGUGGCACUGCUCAGGUGUUAUGAGAGACCAGGUGUCUCUGAUAGUGGCCUUCAGCUCUUCUGCAUUCUUGGGUCGGGCAUAUCGCAUCUUCCUCUUCACAAUACCCCAUAGAUUUUCUAUGGGGUUAAGGUCAGUUUGCUGGCCAAUUAACAAAAAAUAAAAAAAAGUCUUUAAACCAGGUACUGCAAGCAUUGGCACUGUGUGCAGCUUCCAAGUCCUGUUGGAAGAUGAAAUCUGCAUCUCCAUAAAGUUGGUUAGCAGCAGGAAGCAUGAAGUGCUCUAAAACUUCCUGGUAUACGGCUGUGUUGACCUUGGACCUCAGAAAACAUGGCAGAUGACAUGGCACCAUUACUUACUGUGGAAACUCCACUGGAACUAAAGCAACGUGGAUUGUGUGCCUCUCCUCUCUUCCUCCAGACUCUGGGACCCUGAUAUCCAAAGGAAAUGCAACAUUUACCUUCAUCAGAGAACAUAACUGUGGACCACUCAGCAGCAGUCCAGUCCUUUUUGAAGCGAGACGCUUCUGACACUGUCUGUUGUUCAAGAGUGGCUUGACACAAGGAAUGCAACAGCUGAAACCCAUGUCUUGCAUACGUCUGUGUUUAGUGGUUCUUUAAGCACUGACUCCAGCUGCAGUCCACUCUUUGUGAAUCUCCCCCACAUUUUUGAAUGGGUUCUGUUUCACAAUCCUCUCCAGGGUGCGUUUAUCCCUAUUGCUUGUACACUUUUUUCUACCACAUCUUUUCCUUCCCUUCGUCUCUCUAUUAAUGUGCUUGGACACAGAGCUCUGUGAACAGCCAGCCUCUUUUGCAAUGACCUUUUGUGUCUUGUUCUCCUUGUGCAAGGUGUCAAUGGUCAUCUUUUGGACAACUGUCAAGUCAGCAGUGUUCCCUAUGAUUGUGUAGCCUACAGAACUAGUCUGAGAGACCAUUUAAAGGCUUUGCAGUGUUUUGCGUUCAUUAGCUGAUUAGAGUGUGGCACCAGGUGUCUUCAAUAUUGAACCUUUUCACAAUAUUCUAAUUUUCUGAGAUACUGAAUUUGGGAUUUUCCUUAGUUGUCAGUUAUAAUCAUCAAAAUUUAAAGAAAUAAACAUUUGAAAUAUAUCAGUCUGUGUGCAAUGAAGAAAUAUAAUAUACAAGUUUCAUUUUUUGAAUGGAAUUAGUGAAAUAAAUAAACCUUUUAUGAUAUUCUAAUUAUAUGACCAGAACCUGUACACAUUAUCAUACAUAAGUAGCAAGAGAUAUAAAAAAACUAAAGAAAAUAAAGCAAACAAAUGUUAUGGCAAAGCAGGCACACAUCCCCAAACUGACUCAAAUGAUUCGCGAACCCGCUUUGAACUCCCGAACUGACUCAAAUGAUUCGCGAACCCGCUACGAACUCCCGAACCGAUUCAAAUUUUUCGUGAUCCCGCUCCGAACUCCCGAAAUGAUUCAAAUGAUUUGCGAUCCCCAAACUGACUCAAAUGAUUCGAGAACACGCUUUGAACUCCCGAACUGACUUAAAUGAUUCGCGAUCCCCAUAACUGACUCAAAUGAUUCGCGAACCCACUACGAACUCCCGAACUGAUUAAGAUGAUUCGCGAUCCCGCUCCGAACCAUAGACAGUAAAAGAAAUGGACACAGCGACCCCAUUGGAACUCAAUUGAGACAAGUGAAGCCCAUUUUUAGCGUUUUUUAGCACUUCCGUUUCUGACGCGCAGACUCAAACGAAGCUUGACGACGUCAGCAACCUGUCUGACAGAUGUAAAUCUUCUAGUAGCUGUGCGUGCAAACUGCCAUCGUUAAUCUUGCAGAGACAGCGAGCUUGAGCGGGGAGUUCUUUGGCGUGAGUGAGCAGGAGAUCUGACGUGUCUUGAGAGUCCGUCAUGGCUCUUAUAAAGAGGUCUCGUGUUGUUCACAUCGACCAGCUGUCUCUACCUGAGCACACAUGGAGCCCGUGAUCCAGUCGGUGAGCGUGAGGGUCCCAGACGCGGUUUACCCCCACAGGACGGUCCGUGUGAUGCCGAGAGGAGCCUCCUCUCAUUUCGUCGGGAGCACCAUCGUGAUUCUGUCUUCGUACGCCGUUGCAACUCUGGCCAUGAACUGCGGCAAAAAGAUCCAGGAGGAGAGAUUGAAAGCAUCUGGAAACUGACUCGGAGUGCCCCAUCGAACGCUGCUGUCAUCUGAUACAGACAUGGACCUUGGAGAGACUUUGUGAAGUUUGUCACACUUUGGCAGCGUACUUGUCCCCAAGGUUCGGGUCGAUACAUCCAUGCAAACUUUGAAGAGAUGAUUUUUCACUGUGAUGCUGAAUAAUUAAGUCAAGAACAGGGAAACAGAUAUCAGGCCUUUUUACUGAUAUCUGAUUGAAAUCAGUUUGUUGAUUUCAUUCCCAUAGUGAAGCACUGUGAUACACAGACAGUUUUUUUUUUUAAAUGAAGUGUCAUUUGUUUAUUGCAAUGUACAGAAAUGAUAAUAAAAUGUUUAAUACAUUGUGUAAAGCUUGAUUGACUUUGCUUUAUUAGUCAUGCUCUUCAUGAAGCAUAUAAUGUUAUUUAAGAUGAAUGAAGACAGAUGUGAUUAAAUAAUAUCGUGAUUCAUUUGCAUGCUACAAGAACAGAUUGUUUGUUUGUUUAUUUUUUUGACAACUGCAGAUUCCUUCAGAAUAAAAGGUCAUUUAAAAACUA